GGAGAGCUCCCCACCCGGCGCUGGAGAAAGAGGUAAGUUUAACCCCUUCCUCUCCCCACAGCCCGGCGGGAGGGGGUCCCUGAGAGUGGGGGCACCUUCAGGGCACUAUAGUGCCAGGAAAACAAGUGUUUUCCUGGCACUAUAGUGGUCCUUUAACCUGUUUGUAUUGACUACACAUUUUGUAAGUGGCAUCUGGUAACUUGAUGUCAAUGUCAUGGUUUUGGCACAGUGUGCUGCCCUUAUGACAAGGUUUGACAAAGAUAGGAGCCAUGUGGGUAUUUAUUACUCAUGUAUCAAGGCUUAUGAAGAGAUACAUCUAAAGAGUUUCUUGUAAAUUAAGCUGGCGAAAUGAUUGAUUUAUAAUAAACAUAGUCUGGCUUCUAAGUUUGUUAAAUCCUGCUUUACGAGCUGCCAAGCACAAUGUCACUUGUCACUUCUAAUGCGUGAUUAUGAGCUUCAUGUCGAAAUGCUUCCAUCAAAUUUUUGGACUCCAGUCCUGGUCCUAUGAAUAAAAUAUUCAAGGUCAAACUUCAAGGAGUGCAUCGCUCAGAUACCAUCAAACAGCCUUCUUCUGGUGAACAUUCAUAGAAUGAGGUUCUGUUUUUGAAAGCUGAAUGGUGACAAUACUGUUAUUUAUUAAAUGGAGUCUGUCUUUAAGUUGAU